ACCUCUCGAUCGAUUGAUGUUUCCUCUCUCUGCCUUGCUCAUUUCUACGCGAGGCGCAGCCUUGACUUUAGGUUUUUGUAAAAGUGUCUAUAGGGAUGUUCCAUCUCGGGGGUAAGUAUGGCAACUCCGAGAAAUCGCCGCAAGCGCGUCGAAUUCAGCAGGAAGGCUUGCAUCAAACCAUAACUACUGCUCGUUAUCCAAUAGAUAUUUGUUGCCUUAAAAUUGCAUGUAAGCAGCAAUAGGCACUAAUGCUACACUGAUGAAACGGAAAAGGUUCAUUCUCCAUCUAUCAAAUUUUGUUGGCUCUCCAACCCUGAACAUGUUGUGUGUCUGUAAUUUUAAUCAUUACAACUUACUUCCAGUACGGCCAAAUUUAGCAGUCCUAAUGUAACAGGUAGAAUCAAAAAAUGAUCAACAUCUGUAAGAUUUUUCACCCAUCCAAAGCCACCAACCACCAUUUCCAUGAGAAAAAAAUUAUAAUGGAUACUUACUAACAUCUGGGUGAGGUAACAUGUACGAUAGAUUUCUAGUGGCAAUUGAAAAAGAAAACCAAAGAGGUAGUUGAAUCAGCACAAGUAUAUAGGAUUUUGCAGGAUGGCAGUUCUCCCUCUGGACUAAAUCAGACCAUUCCUUUUUGACCUAGUGAAUUUAUGGCAAAAAUUAUUACUUAAAUGAUUUAUUCAUAAAUUAUACAUAUAAGCAAUCAUAUUUACUGCUAAUGUGUAAUGUUGUCUUGCAAGCUUCUCUGGCCAACCAUGAUACGAAACAUUAAUAUUGGCUUCAUUUUUCAAGAGCUUUAUGGAUUGCUCCAACUCUGGCUGAAUCGAUUGUAAUUUUCCUGUAUUAUGCAUCUGGAACAUUCAUGAAAUUAAAGUCAAGUUAUGAAACAAAAAUAUACUUUGUUGUUAAAAUUAAUAAAAAAAUAUAUGAAUCUUCAAAAAGUUGUUUAGAGUACCUGAAUUAGAGAAAAAGGCAACGUGAUAACAGCUCUAGCCAUUAAAGCUGACAGAGUAAUCGAUGCCCACCACGGCAACCCAGUAAAGUCAUGCAUGUUCAAAAGCGUAUUCUGAGCCAGAUGCACUAUCUUCCAAUCCGCAACACUUUUUGCAAAUUCUGGUAAAGCAGAGCCUGCAAUUUUUGCAGCCUCUUCAGCAGGUAUCAGUUCUUUACUUGCAGUCACAGCAGUAUUGAACAUUUUCUCAAAAUCUUUUAUCUCGCUUGCAAAAUUUCUUUGAAAACUCAAAUGAAUCGGCGACGAUCCAAAGAGUAAAUUUUUCUGCGAAAGAUGUUGUGAAAGAGGAAAAUGACAGUGAUUGCGAUUUUCAUUUUUCUUGCGAAAAUUCACUGUGUGAUAAGCACUACUACUUUUGUUGAUAUCAUAUUGCGGAGAUAAAAUUUGCCGGCAAUGAUGGCGAAGAGUUUUUGUUAUAACUCUGUUUGUGACUCCGGAAUUCAUCUUCGACUUUUCUUAUAAUAAUUGAUCUUCAUAUACUUGUAAAUAUUUUUCACACUGCGACUAUAGUUACAUCGCUUGAUCGAGGUUAUGCAGAAGCAACAAGCCAAUACGAAUACUAGCUUAUAAGUAUGCCAUGCAGCGUGCUAUGUUGGAGAAUCGAGCACACAGCUCAUUGUGGAUCCAAGCAAGUCUUUUUCUCCAAACGGCCUUAACAGUCCCAGAAUCUGCGUGGUCAAUCUGAAUGGUACGAGCU